GAUCUCUUGGGGGUUAAAAUGAAGAUUGUGGUGACCAUUUUGGAGGAUGGAUGGGUACUCACGGGAUAUUGGUGCGGUUCAAUAAGAAAACGGUGCUCAAUACUUUUUGAGCUCCGCUUUUUGAUUGAGCCGCGCCAAUAUCACGUGCCACUCGCUCUCUAAUUGCUUUCUUUUAAGCACAGGGGAGCGCGUAAUUAUGUUGAGGUCAGGUAAGUAGGGGUUUAAAUUAAAAUUCUAGCUUAUUGCUUCUGUUUAAAUUUUACUGUUCAAUUGGCUCCAUUUAGAUGCAUCAUUGUUUUUAUGUUAUGACCCUUUCGAAUU
rnacentral:pre_miRNA from 1 species